GCCUCUGUGGCGCAAUCAGUUAGCGUGUUUGGCUGGUAACCAAAACGUUGGUGGUUUGAGCCCACCCAGGGGCG
rnacentral:tRNA from 1 species